UGGUUUAUCAAUCGCCUCCUUCUAAGCUAGGGUUUGCAUCUCUACGUCUCUCGAGGAGAUCGAGAUCAGCUGCCUUGAUUCUCUUGAGGUAUGGAUCUUUCUCUGUUUGUUUUACUUAGUUUCUCUGUUACAUCACAGGGUAUCUGAGGGCUUACGAGCACUCAUGGUACGAUUUCAUGGGGAGUGCCUGGUGUGCUUCGGAGUUUCCAGAUCUGGCGAGAUCGGGUGAUUUAUUGAACGAGACGAGGACGUUCUGUCCCGGUGGAAGAAGGCUUUCGUAUUUACGAAUCAGGCUGGCUAAGGAUGGCGUAUGUACUUUGUUUUAUGUAAUACUGAGAAAUAUAGAUAGGUGAUCUAUAUGUGGAUGACCGAGAAGGACAGAGAGCUUGGAUUGUCAAGGAGGUGACGGAUGAUGUUCAAUGUGUUAUCAGAUGUCUCACAUGUUGUCAUGACGGCCUUUGCCUUGUUGGGUGCGCUCGCAUGGCAGGCCAAAAAUCCUUAAUAAAAUUAAUCUUCUUGUGGGGGAUGGGAGAUCGUACGGGGUGAUUUUGAGCCCUGGGUUCUCCCUUGUGCGUCGUCUCUUUACUUUUCCCAUGCUCUCUGCAACUCGUCUUGGUACCACGCGCAGCUCAUGCUCUCUUCUCAACCACGUAACUUAAAUCGUGUGAGGUAGUCUUCAACAAAUUUUAGUUACUACUAUUUGCACCGAUGAGACGUGAAUCAAAGAAUUCUAUUUAAGAAUUAAAGGUUUUUAAUGCUCGGCCAAACCGAUUCAAUGACGUGAUUUUCUUCUUCGAAGGUAAUUUACGAGCUCUUCUUUUUAUUGAUGCAGCGGUGCGAGUUAUAAAUCUCGGCUCUAUCAGACCAAUAGUUAAACUUUCUUUAUGAGAUGGUUUUUGCGGAUCUGAUGAUCUUCUGAAAUUUAUGAAGAUAUUUUUAACAGUAUCAAUUGCAGCUGAAAACAUACCUUUAUACUGUAUUUUAAAUGAAUUUAAUGGAAGAUCUUCUGUCAAUUGUUUAAAAGCUAGUAUUACCAAUAUCUACAGUAUUUUGAAGGAUUAUCAUUGCUCAAUAGCGGGAGGGAUCUACCCCUAAACUAUGAAUUAAAUCACAGCGUUAUUACAUAUUUCUACAGUGCUUUUUGAUCCCAGACAUGUUGCUAUAUUUGUUUGGCAUGUAAAUAAUAAUUGUAAUGUUGUCUAAACUCUAGUUUUUCAAUUUUUUUUUUAACUUUAUUGGGGAACCUUUGAAGUUGUUUAAUAAGAUCUUUCAUCAAGCGGAUGGUAAGUGCUGCUACUGAAUACUGGAUUGUUGGAUUUGAUGCUGCUUCUGUUCAUCGAAUUGUCAGUUUUGACAGAACCAAAUUCGAGGGGGCGGAAGAAGUUAAUUACUUGGAUCGACAAGAAGAAGCGGAAGGAAAUGAUUCCCAGUACUCAAGCUUUAGUUUAAUGUGAAUUUAAAUGAGAUAUGUUUGGGAACAAAACAGAAUGACAAUUUUAUGAAGAACUUCUGCCGCAGGAACAUCUCGUUGGCCGCGAUUCUGUCUCUGCGUUUAAUCCCCGAUUACUCUGCUGCCCUCGCCUGGCGAGCAAUAUUUCUUCAUUCCCUUUCCUUCUCGUUUUUUGAACUGCACUUUGAGGGAAGUAAGUUAGCCCAACCAAAAAAUGGAGGAAAUAUUUCUACUCUGUCACCGAUAUUUGGUGUUCUUGAGGAAGAUGCCUUGCAAUUUUUUUUAUUGGUUUUUAGGUGAUCUCAAGGCUUUUGUUUUACUUUCAAUUAUGCUUUUAUUGGUUUUUAUGUUUUUUCUUUGUCAUGGCUUUGUUUUACUUUCAAUUAUAAGCUAUAAAAACUUGUGGAUUUGUUUAACGUCAUAUUCAUUUGAUA